rnacentral:rRNA from 1 species
UUUACUGACGCUAAAGCUCGAAAGUGCGGGUAUCGAACAGGAUUAGAUACCCUGGUAGUCCGCACGGUAAACGAUGGAUGCCCGCUGUCGGCGACAGACUGUCGGCGGCCAAGAGAAAUCGUUAAGCAUCCCACCUGGGGAGUACGCCGGCAACGGUGAAACUCAAAGGAAUUGACGGGGGCCCGCACAAGCGGAGGAACAUGUGGUUUAAUUCGAUGAUACGCGAGGAACCUUACCCGGGCUUGAACUGCAGCAGACGGAUCCAGAGAUGGUGACUCCCUUCGGGGCUGCUGUGGAGGUGCUGCAUGGUUGUCGUCAGCUCGUGCCGUGAGGUGUCGGCUUAAGUGCCAUAACGAGCGCAACCCCUUUCUUCAGUUGCCAUCAGGUAAUGCUGGGCACUCUGUAGACACUGCCACCGUAAGGUGUGAGGAAGGUGGGGAUGACGUCAAAUCAGCACGGCCCUUACGUCCGGGGCUACACACGUGUUACAAUGGGUGGUACAGAGAGUCGGGUGUACGCAAGUGCAUUCUAAUCUUGAAAGCCGUCCUCAGUUCGGAUUGGGGUCUGCAACCCGACCCCAUGAAGCUGGAUUCGCUAGUAA